CCUACGGGAGGCAGCAGUGAGGAAUAUUGGUCAAUGGGCGCGAGCCUGAACCAGCCAAGUCGCGUGAGGGAGGACGGCCCUACGGGUUGUAAACCUCUUUUGCCGGGGAGCAACGGGCGCCACGUGUGGCGUCACUGAGAGUACCCGGAGAAAAAGCAUCGGCUAACUCCGUGCCAGCAGCCGCGGUAAUACGGAGGAUGCGAGCGUUAUCCGGAUUUAUUGGGUUUAAAGGGUGCGCAGGCGGAGGUGCAAGUCAGCGGUCAAAUUGCGGGGCUCAACCCCGUACUGCCGUUGAAACUGCAUCCCUUGAGUGCGCGAGAAGUAUGCGGAAUGCGUGGUGUAGCGGUGAAAUGCAUAGAUAUCACGCAGAACUCCGAUUGCGAAGGCAGCAUACCGGCGCGCAACUGACGCUCAUGCACGAAAGCGUGGGUAUCGAACAGGAUUAGAUACCCUUGUAGUC
rnacentral:rRNA from 1 species